GCUGCUAUUAGGGUCCUAGAUCAUCCAGAUCGGUUCAUCUGUGGGCAUGAUUCCAUGUCCUGUGAAGCUCUUUUCACAUGGACGGGUGCUGCCAACCACGAGCUCAGGCCCUGAUUGUGUGGGCUUCAGGCUUGGAAGGAGGGUCUACCAAUCGGUUCCCAUCUCCCUGAGUUGUGACAAUGGAGAUGAAUAACUUCCAGCAGAGGCUGAGGAGGAAACGGAUUCCUGAUCCAGCCUGUACAUUGUGCUUUCGCCAAGGCCCCCAAAAUUCAAGCUGGGGAACUCCAUCUGCUGUGAAUCUGGGGCACGAACGCAUUCUCCUCCUCCCAGCCUUUGCCGGAGACCUGACGGGACUCCUGGCAGUCUUGACCAGAGUCUGUGUGUCUCCAAGAAGCUCCUCUCUGAAGGGGAAUCGGUGAGUCUGGCGAGAGCUACUUCCCAAAGCCAGCCCACCACAGCUGGAAGGAGAUUCGGAAGGAUUUCAGGCUUGAGCUCAACAACUCCCUUCUUAUGUCGCAAGGACAAUGCUGGGGUGGGCAGAGCGAGGCGAGGGGCGCCUGGGAAGCUGCAAUGUGCCCAGGCAGAAGGCCCGGUCCCGCUUCCCAGCUCUGCCACGGUGGCGCCCAGCAGAUGGGUGCGGCUGGCUGUGAAAUUGGAAUUACCGCAGGAAUCAUUCUCGUGCCUUUUCCAACCGUUUAUAGAUGUAGAAACCCUUCUUAGCUGGUGUCUAGGGAGAGCCAGGACGUCCGUUUGCCAGCCAACCCCUUGCCUGGGACUAGUUAACGUGGACCCACUUUCGGGCCCGCUUGGAGACCUGGCGCCUCACUGGAGUGAGUCUGGGGCUCUUGGCCACGGGGGAGGACAGGGCAAGGUUGCAGGGGAGGAGAAAAGCCCAGGCUGGAAGCAAUCGGCCACACGGACCGUCCUCCAGGAGCUGGGUCCUUCCUCUAUUUGUAUUCGUUUGUCACUUGUUUUUAAACAGCACCGAUUGGCCCUGGCAGCAGAUUCACUGGGGGGUGAGCAGAGCCGACCUGGAGGUGGGAGGGUGGACGAGCCCUCAGCAGCCGGCAGGGUUUGAGGUGGG
rnacentral:lncRNA from 1 species